CAUUUGGUACACCAACAAAAAUCCAAGGACCUUCACUGAUCAUGCAACCAACCUCCCCUCCAAGUUGAAUCACACCCAUACACUGGCCAGACUGGCAAUCCCAAACCCUUACGGUUUCAUCAUUACUUCCCGUGUAAAGCUUAUCGGACCCAGUUGGCAAAGCAAUUCCAGUUACCACCUUCUGGUGACCGUCAAGCUGCGUCAAAAACGAAAAACUAUCACCCAAACUCCACGAAUGCAAGUACCUGCACUUGUCACCAUAACUACAUUUACCUUGAACCCAAUAAUUACAAACUUUCUCAGUCUUCCUCAAAAUCUUAUUAUUCCCUAAUCGUCCCCAAGAUGACGCGUUAUUGAAAUUGCCACUUCUCCGUGUCCCAGAUGGCCCGGAAAAUCCCGAAUCAUCAGAAAACCCACGCUUCGAUGCAUUGCCAUUGGAACCAGCAGGCGGCGGUGGCGGCAAUUCUCUGUGAAGAUAGGGACACAGGUAGCGGCUGCACCUGCCUGCCCGCCAAUGGUGGCAGACCUUUUGCUGCCUGUUGUCGUUCGACGGUUGAGCGCGGAGUCGCUGGAACACGCGACUGUUGCCUCCUUGAGCGUCUAAAUCCAUGGAUUGCAGUAAUAUAAAAAGAGAUGCAAUCUAAGACUCCGAAGAAGUUUGUUCUUGUGGAAAUGUAAGGAACUGAGGGCGUAAGAAUCGAAUCUGAUCAUGAAAAAGCAGUUAAGACCUCUCUCUCUCUCUCUCUCUCUCUCUCUGGUUCUGAUGUCGGCGUGCGAAGUUUCAACCUCUUAUCUGGAAAGAUGUGUGUUCGUUUGUGGAUCGAGGUUUAGCGAUUAGAAACCCUAACUACGAACACGGUGGAUGUUCACGUUCAAUUUGGUAGUUUCUUCUGUGUUAAGGAGAAGC
rnacentral:misc_RNA from 1 species